rnacentral:lncRNA from 1 species
AUUUAAAUGAAUGCACUGGUUAAUUCUUAUUCUCUUUUGCACAUAUAUAGGCACCUCCUAUACAUAUGCUAUAUAAAAGGUAAAGAGGGACAGGGCAGAUAAGAGGAUAAUAAAGUGAGGAAGUUGAGAAGGAAAAAGUUAAAAAUAGAAAAAAAAUGAAGAGAACAAAGAAAAAACAACAACAACAACAAAAAAACCCCAUAAAAUGAAAAAAUAAACAAAUGCAAAAAAAAAAAAAACCCAACCCAAACAAACAAGGAAACAAACAAAAAGUCCUUAUGCAGUUUCUCUAGCCUAAGACCAAAGUAUCCACACAAAUCUUUUUACAUUGCAGUCAGAAUCUGACUGUAAGCAUCCAAGCUGGUUCCCCACUUAUGGUCUUAGUUGCCUGCCUGGGAGCCUUAUAGGCUUACUGGUCUGGAUGGCUCUCUGGGCCCACUUCUUGCGUGCAAGCUAUACUUUGAACACAGCCAACUACAGCCUCUUGUCUCUGUCCCAAGAUCGGACCACCCCAGUUAAUUUGGAAGAGGGAGAUGUGUAUUUUGUCCAACACCUGGUUCUCUAUUGACUCCUCCAGGAACCUCCCACUUCUGCUCCCUUCACUGCAGGGCAAAUCCCAUGGUCAUUUCUGUGUCAUUCUUCCACAAACCUUUUGCCUACUGCAUUGCCAGAAUCCCGCUGACUUGGGCACUACUCUUUGUCUCUCCACUCAGCCACUUUCUUAAGAGUUCCACUCUUCUAGCUGUGGAACUUGGCACAGCCCCUAUGCUUGGCAGAGGACCUCUUUUGGCAGCACAAGAUGGGGGAAGUAAGUUUCAGAAGAAAGAGAUGCCACUCAGCUUUAUUUCAACCUUGACUCUGUACUUGCCGCACUCCAGAGGCUGA